rnacentral:misc_RNA from 1 species
GAAAUAAGAUGCUGGCUUAACGGCCGGCAUUUUACCCUUCUUAUCCAUAACACCUGUGCACUGUUGGAUGCUUGCAUCCACUUUUAUACUAAACAAUUUGUAACAAAUGUAGUCUUAUUAUAAUUAAUAAAACUUUUAACAACGGAUCUCUUGGCUCU